rnacentral:lncRNA from 1 species
GGUAGACAUGGGCAAACUUCGGCCCUCCAGGUGUUCUGGACUUCAACUCCCACAAUUCCUAACAGCCUGUGGGAGUUGAAGUCCAGAACACCUGGAGGGCCGAAGUUUGUCCAUGCUUGCCUUAAGGCUAUUCAAUGGCUUCCCAAGGGUUUGAAGGGCCUGCUCUGUCCCCACAGCUGCAGGAGGCGAAGUUCCCAAAGUCACGAGAAGGGAGCCCUGGCGAAAGCCUCUCAGGAGGAGGCGGGGAGCGUGGCCAAAACUGGCUCUUCCGCCUCACCCGGGAGUCAGCUGACUGGGCUUCAAGGAACUGCGGCGCGCGCCUUGCCCUGGAGCCACACCUGGCCCGAGAUCCCCAUUGAUUGGCAGACAUGGCCGAGCCCGAGGGGGUCGUGGUGGGAAGUGGAACGCAAGUGUCUUACAUUGGUCAAGAUUGCAGGAAAAUCCCAGAGUUUCUUGGCAGAAAAUAUGGAAACAUUGCAAAAAGGCUGGAUCUUAGCUUCAAUUUACUGAA